rnacentral:rRNA from 1 species
UGCAGUCGAGCGACGAAAGGGCCUUCGGGCCCCUGAAAGCGGCGAACGGGUGAGUACCACGUGGGUAACCUACCCUCGGUUUCGGGAUAGCCCGGGGAAACCCGGAUUAAUACCGAAUGGCCUCCCGGAUCCUCGGAUUCGGGAGAAAAGGUAGCUUCGGCCUCCGACCGAGGACGGGCCCGCGGCCGAUUAGCUUGUUGGCGGGGUAACGGCCCACCAAGGCGACGAUCGGUAGCUGGUCUGAGAGGACGAUCAGCCACACUGGGACUGAGACACGGCCCAGACUCCUACGGGAGGCAGCAGUAGGGAAUCUUGCGCAAUGGGCGGAAGCCUGACGCAGCGGCGCCGCGUGCGGGAAGAAGGCCUUCGGGUUGUAAACCGCUUUCAGGAGGGACGAAGCCACUCGGGUGAAUAGCCCAGAGGGUGACGGUACCUCCAGAAGAAGCCCCGGCUAACUACGUGCCAGCAGCCGCGGUAAUACGUAGGGGGCCAGCGUUGUCCGGAUUCAUUGGGCGUAAAGAGCGUGUAGGCGGCCAUGUAGGUCCGAUGUGAAAACUGGAGGCUCAACCUCCAGCUGUCGUCGGAAACCAUGUGGCUAGAGUCCGGAAGAGGAGAGUGGAAUUCCUGGUGUAGCGGUGAAAUGCGCAGAUAUCAGGAAGAACACCUAUGGCGAAGGCAGCUCUCUGGGACGGUACUGACGCUGAGACGCGAAAGCGUGGGGAGCGAACAGGAUUAGAUACCCUGGUAGUCCACGCCGUAAACGAUGGGCGCUAGG